GACGAAGGUGGCGAGCGUUGUUCGGUGUCACUGGGCUUAAAGAGUAUGUAGGCGGAAAGGUUAGCGUCUUGUGAAAUCCCUCAGCUUAACUGAGGAAUUGCUGGGCGAACUGCCUUUCUUGAGGCAAGUAGGGGUGCAUGGAACUCUUGGUGGAGCGGUGGAAUGCGUAGAUAUCAAGAGGAACGCCGAUGGAGAAAUCAAUGCACUGGGCUUGUCCUGACGCUGAGAUACGAAAGCGUGGGGAGCAAACGGGAUUAGAUACCCCAGUA
rnacentral:rRNA from 1 species